rnacentral:ncRNA from 1 species
UUAAAAGCAUUGAAAGGAAUAAGUAGAGGGUCCUCCCUGUUUUGUAGAGAGUCAGUGGCUGCUGGAAACUGACACAAAGGGCCAUUCGAAUUACACUCCUGGAGCUGUUCUCUGCAUGAGUAUAAGUGGAGAAUCGGAGCAAUCCGUUAGUAAAUGAAGGCGAAGAGAUUACAUUCUCUUAAGCUGGGUGGUACCGCGCAUAAAAGCGUCCCUGCA